UCCGUAGGUGAACCUGCGGAAGGAUCAUUAUUGAAUUCAAAUCAUCUGUGGCUUCGGUCCGGAUGUGCCAACAGGUAACACUGUUGGUAAUUCUAUCCAUAACACCUGUGAACUGUUGGAUGCUUGCAUCCACUUUUAUACUAAACAUUAUUGUAACAAAUGUAGUCUUAUUAUAACUAAUAAAACUUUUAACAACGGAUCUCUUGGCUCUCGCAUCGAUGAAGAACGCAGCGAAAUGCGAUAAGUAAUGUGAAUUGCAGAAUUCAGUGAAUCAUCGAAUCUUUGAACGCACCUUGCGCUCCUUGGUAUUCCGAGGAGCAUGCCUGUUUGAGUGUCAUGAAACUCUCAAACCCAAGUUUUGGAUUUCGAUCCAUGCUUGAGUUUGGAUUUGGAUGUUUGCCGGUGAUAAGCCGACUCAUCUUAAAAGUAUUAGCUAGAUCUGUCUCUAUGACUGGUUUGACUUGGCAUAAUAAGUAUUUUGCUGAGGACAUCUUCGGAUGGCCAGGACCUAGACUAUUGUCUGCUAUCUAAACCAUCACUUUAAGUGCAUCUUCGGAUGUUACUCAUUGUGUAACUUUGACAUCUGGCCUCAAAUCAGGUAGGACUACCCGCUGAACUUAAGCAUAUCAAUAAGCGGAGGAAAAGAAACUAACAAGGAUUCCCCUAGUAACGGCGAGUGAAGCGGGAAGAGCUCAAAUUUGAAAUCUGGUGGCCUCAGGUCAUCCGAGUUGUAAUCUAUAGAAGUGUUUUCCGUGCUGGCUCAUGUACAAGUCCCUUGGAACAGGGCGUCAUAGAGGGUGAGAAUCCCGUCCUUGACAUGAACUACCAGUGCUCUGUGAUACAUUUUCAACGAGUCGAGUUGUUUGGGAAUGCAGCUCAAAAUGGGUGGUAAAUUCCAUCUAAAGCUAAAUAUUGGCGAGAGACCGAUAGCGAACAAGUACCGUGAGGGAAAGAUGAAAAGCACUUUGGAAAGAGAGUUAAACAGUAUGUGAAAUUGUUAAAAGGGAAACGCUUGAAGU
rnacentral:sRNA from 1 species